UAGGGAAUCUUCCACAAUGGACGCAAGUCUGAUGGAGCAACGCCGCGUGAGUGAAGAAGGUUUUCGGACCGUAAAGCUCUGUUGUUGGUGAAGAAGGAUAGAGGUAGUAACUGGCCUUUAUUUGACGGUAAUCAACCAGAAAGUCACGGCUAACUACGUGCCAGCAGCCGCGGUAAUACGUAGGUGGCAAGCGUUGUCCGGAUUUAUUGGGCGUAAAGCGAGCGCAGGCGGAAGAAUAAGUCUGAUGUGAAAGCCCUCGGCUUAACCGAGGAAUUGCAUCGGAAACUGUUUUCUUGAGUGCAGAAGAGGAGAGUAGAACUCCAUGUGUAGCGGUGGAAUGCGUAGAUAU
rnacentral:rRNA from 1 species